CCUACGGGAGGCAGCAGUGGGGAAUAUUGCACAAUGGGGGAAACCCUGAUGCAGCGACGCCGCGUGAGUGAAGAAGUAUUUCGGUAUGUAAAGCUCUAUCAGCAGGGAAGAAAAUGACGGUACCUGAUUAAGAAGCCCCGGCGAACUACGGGCCAGCAGCCGCGGGAAUACGUAGGGGGCAAGCUUUAUCCGGAUUUACUGGGUGUAAAGGGAGCGUAGACGGCAGCACAAGUCUGGAGUGAAAUGCCAGGGCUUAAACCCGGAACUGCUUUGGAAACUGUGCAGCUAGAGUGCAGGAGAGGUAAGUGGAAUUCCUAGUGUAGCGGUGAAAUGCGUAGAUAGUAGGAGGAACACCAGUGGCGAAGGCGGCUUACUGGACUGUAACUGACGUUGAGGCUCGAAAGCGUGGGGAGCAAACAGGAUUAGAUACCCCUGUAGUC
rnacentral:rRNA from 1 species